UUUACGUUGCAAAAGAACUGAUCAGAGGUAAGGCUAUGCUGGUUGAUCUGUGGAUCACUUUUGUACACCUAAGUGUUCUUUGACAUGUGGCAAAACCUUAGUACUGAAAUCCUCACAUGAGUGCACAGGUGCAUACAGGCAGUAUCACACUCUGAGGACCAUACACGUGUAGUCGUUCCCUUUUAGUUUCAGAUAAAGUUGGUGACUUUAGUGAUAUUUUCACAUUUCGAGUUUAUAAUGUUGUCACAGCCACGCACAACUUCACACGGUAGGUACAUAGCACAGGAAUUGUUAAGAAGUGCCUAAACCCCUUAGUUCGAGUUUCCAUAACGCUGAUGAUUUUCCAAAGGCUUGGAGAAUGCUGCACUCAUGCAGCCGCAGUAUGCUUCGACUUGAGGCUUGGAACAAGGAGAGGGUGGAGACGCCAGUGCCUACGAACAUUCCAUGUUCCGUGGCUCCGUGCCGGCUGAAAAGGGUAUAAGCCAAGGCUGCCAACCAACUGAAUUGCACCGGGAACACACGUGAUGGGCACAAACAGCCUGUGCUCCACCCAGCUGUUAACCGGACACCUGAACCUGGCUCAAGCUCAUUCACAGCAGCACAAAGAAAGGUCGGUGUACAAAGGAGGCAGCUACCUCAGGCAACUCCCUUCCUACAUCUCUACCGGUUCGCAAGAUUUCUACCCAUCUACCUCAACUCCACAGGUACCACAUGGUGCCUUUGAAGCAUGGUGCACUACCAUCAUAACCCCAGCUUCCAGCAACGUCCUGUUUGGGAACAAAAAUGAGAGUGCGGCACACAGAUGCCACUAGCCCCAGCCAGAGUUUGAAGAUACGGCUUGCAGUGCUGAUGGAAAUGUUGAACCUGUAGGCUAGGCCUGUAGCUCAAGUCUCAGCCUCAGUCUCAAGUCUCAGCAGUAGCAGAAGUUGGCUUUCACAAGGCAGAUUCUUGCGCUUGCAUGGCACAACAGUCGCAACGGUUGUCAGCAGCGCUAGAAAAGUUGACUUUGUGAGUCCUGUAAGUAGUAGCAGACAGCAA